CGGCCGCGGCCCCCGCCCCUCGGGCUCCUUGCGGGGGUCGGAAAGCCCCUAAUUGGGCGGCCCGGACGGUUUUCGCGGAGCCUCGACGGGCCGCGGCGGAAGUCGCCCUCAGUCGGCCGUGAGAACCCAGAGUCGCGGCCGGUGCUGUCACCGACUAGCGCGGAGCACACGCCUGUGGCUCAGGCCUGGGCACUGCAGACAACUUGGGACCUCAAGAUUGGCCAACACUACCUGCCCCUGCUGAGCCAGGAGAACCAGCAAAAGAAGACAUGGGAGAGAAUGAAAGGAUCCAAAAUCUCUUCUGUGAUUUCCUGAAGGAACAGUGCUUCACUCUGGAAGAGGAAAGCCACCCUGGUCAACAGAUUCUGUGGAUCCGGAGCCAGUCGUGAGUGG
rnacentral:lncRNA from 1 species